GGGACACGCUCGCGACGUAGAUCAGUGCAAGAAUGACGGAUGAGAGGCCGAUGGCCGUGUACUCGGUCGUGGAAAGCCCUUGCGACAGUUGCGUUGUCGAGGAGAACAUCACUUCUCGAACGUCUGGAACGAAGUGAAAAUUUAAAAAGCGAGAUUUGAAAGAGAGAGGCGGAAGACAGAUGCGAAUACCGACUGCUUUUGGACUGCGAGCCAGCCACCCUGAAAGCCACGCACGGGGUGAAGACACCGGGAAGCUUCGACUUCUGAGAGGCGUCUCUGCACACGAGUUUCGCUGUCACCACUCGACCCUCAGCCGCUUCUCUCAGCCCGGUUUCGCCGAUCCACUGCAACGAUUCCAAGAUUAUUCCCUCAAUGAUUGGGGAAGUUGAUUUUUGAAAUGGCGAGAAGACGAAUCGAAACGAAAAGUUUUCUUUUAUUCGUAUGAAAUGUUCGAUCGAAGGAAGUGUCAUAUCGUAUAUUUCGCCGUCCAAAUUUUUCUUCUUCGAUGAUGAAAUUUAAACGUGAUUUUCGCAGCAA